rnacentral:rRNA from 1 species
AGAGUUUGAUCCUGGCUCAGGAUGAACGCUAGCGGCAGGCCUAACACAUGCAAGUCGAGGGGCAUCACGAGGUAGCAAUACUUUGGUGGCGACCGGCGCACGGGUGCGUAACGCGUAUGUAACCUACCUAUAACAGGGGCAUAACACUGAGAAAUUGGUACUAAUUCCCCAUAAUAUUCGGAGAGGCAUCUCUCCGGGUUGAAAACUCCGGUGGUUAUAGAUGGACAUGCGUUGUAUUAGCUAGUUGGUGAGGUAACGGCUCACCAAGGCAACGAUACAUAGGGGGACUGAGAGGUUAACCCCCCACACUGGUACUGAGACACGGACCAAACUCCUACGGGAGGCAGCAGUGAGGAAUAUUGGUCAAUGGACGCAAGGCUGAACCAGCCAUGCCGCGUGCAGGAAGACGGCUCUAUGAGUUGUAAACUGCUUUUGUACGAGGGUAAACUCACCUACGUGUAGGUGACUGAAAGUAUCGUACGAAUAAGGAUCGGCUAACUCCGUGCCAGCAGCCGCGGUAAUACGGAGGAUUCAAGCGUUAUCCGGAUUUAUUGGGUUUAAAGGGUGCGUAGGCGGUUUGAUAAGUUAGAGGUGAAAUCCCGGGGCUUAACUCCGGAACUGCCUCUAAUACUGUUAGACUAGAGAGUAGUUGCGGUAGGCGGAAUGUAUGGUGUAGCGGUGAAAUGCUUAGAGAUCAUACAGAACACCGAUUGCGAAGGCAGCUUACCAAACUAUAUCUGACGUUGAGGCACGAAAGCGUGGGGAGCAAACAGGAUUAGAUACCCUGGUAGUCCACGCAGUAAACGAUGAUAACUCGUUGUCGGCGAUACACAGUCGGUGACUAAGCGAAAGCGAUAAGUUAUCCACCUGGGGAGUACGUUCGCAAGAAUGAAACUCAAAGGAAUUGACGGGGGCCCGCACAAGCGGAGGAACAUGUGGUUUAAUUCGAUGAUACGCGAGGA